rnacentral:rRNA from 1 species
GUGUCAGCAGCCGCGGUAAUACGUAGGUGGCAAGCGUUAUCCGGAUUCACUGGGCGUAAAGAGCACGCAGGCGGUCCUUCAAGUCGGAUGUUAAAUCUCCCGGCUUAACUGGGAGCUGUCAUUCGAUACUGCUGGACUUGAGGACAGUAGAGGGAGGUGGAAUUCCCGGUGUAGUGGUGAAAUGCGUAGAUAUCGGGAGGAACACCAGUGGCGAAAGCGGCCUCCUAGGCUGUUUCUGACGCUGAGGUGCGAAAGCGUGGGGAGCGAACAGGAUUAGAUACCCUGGUAGUCCACGCUGUAAACUAUGGACACUAGGUACAGGGAGUAUCGACCCUUCCUGCGCCGUAGCUAACGCGUUAAGUGUCCCGCCUGGGGACUACGGUCGCAAGACUAAA